ACCGUGAACCACCUCGCUCGCCUGCUGAGGUGGGGUAUCGUCCGCGGAUCCUCGGGUUUCUCGCGGAGGGACAGGAGGGGUCGCGAGUGCAGCGGCGAUGGCAGGGGACCUGGCCGCCCUGGCCCAGUGGGCCCCCAGCCAGGGGACAGGGCCCGGGCACUCCGAGGCGGCCUGCCGGCGCGUGCCGGCGCUCCGGUUACUCGUUAUCUGCCCCGUGCGCGGGCCAGGCCGCCGGGAGUCCUGGGUGCGGCACCGCGGGGCCUGGGCGCGUGUCGGAGCGCACUGGGGCCCCCGCGUGGAAGCCCGCCGGCUCCCCGGCUGCCUCGGACCUCGCCUGUAUCAGGAAUCUCGAAAUCUCGCCAGCGCUCUGCCUGACAGAGAGAAACCCGAUCGCGCCCUGACUCAUGCCCAAUCUCCGCGAUCUCCCGCGCACAGGGCCGGCGGUUCCUGGGCGCUGCUCGGCAAGGCAUUGUGCUCCAGGGCCCCGGGGCGCGGGGAGGUGCGCGGACCGGCUGGGCCUGCCGGCUUCCUCCGCGGUGUGCGGUUUGCCACCUCACCGCUACCCCAUCCCUGUCUCUACCCCAAGGCGUACCCUGGGCUGGCGAGGCGAUCUCCUGAGAGAAGAAGUGGGCCCGCGUCUGGGUUUUGCUUUCGGUUGACCUCUCCCGCUGAACGUGUCGGGCCUACAAACAGCUGAAUGAUUCCUUUUAUAUUCAACAGGAAGUAAUUUUAAGCCAAGAGACUGAGACUGUAGUUUUUGUUGACUUCUUUGCCUUGCUUUCCACGACAUUUCCCCUCAAGCACCAACACAUUUUCUGGUGAUACCCAAGAAACAUAUAUCCCAGAUUUCUGCAGCAGAAGAUGAUGAUGAAAGUCUUCUUGGACACUUAAUGAUUG